rnacentral:rRNA from 1 species
CAGCACGGGGGCAACCCUGGUGGCGAGUGGCGAACGGGUGAGUAAUACAUCGGAACGUGCCCAGUCGUGGGGGAUAACUACGCGAAAGCGUAGCUAAUACCGCAUACGAUCUAUGGAUGAAAGCGGGGGAUCGCAAGACCUCGCGCGAUUGGAGCGGCCGAUAUCAGAUUAGGUAGUUGGUGGGGUAAAGGCCUACCAAGCCGACGAUCUGUAGCUGGUCUGAGAGGACGACCAGCCACACUGGGACUGAGACACGGCCCAGACUCC